rnacentral:rRNA from 1 species
GAUGAACGCUGGCGGCGUGCCUAAUACAUGCAAGUCGAGCGAACGGACGAGAAGCUUGCUUCUCUGAUGUUAGCGGCGGACGGGUGAGUAACACGUGGAUAACCUACCUAUAAGACUGGGAUAACUUCGGGAAACCGGAGCUAAUACCGGAUAAUAUUUUGAACCGCAUGGUUCAAAAGUGAAAAACGGUUUUGCUGUCACUUAUAGAUGGAUCCGCGCUGCAUUAGCUAGUGGGUAAGGUAACGGCUUACCAAGGCAACGAUGCAUAGCCGACCUGAGAGGGUGAUCGGCCACACUGGAACUGAGACACGGUCCAGACUCCUACGGGAGGCAGCAGUAGGGAAUCUUCCGCAAUGGGCGAAAGCCUGACGGAGCAACGCCGCGUGAGUGAUGAAGGUCUUCGGAUCGUAAAACUCUGUUAUUAGGGAAGAACAUAUGUGUAAGUAACUGUGCACAUCUUGACGGUACCUAAUCAGAAAGCCACGGCUAACUACGUG